ensembl:lncRNA
ACGUGGCGGUCGCCGUGAGGCGGGGCCGCGCGCGCUCCUGGCGUCAGCGGGAGGCGGGCGCGCUGUAGCUGUUACGGCUGAGGGUCCUAUGCUGUUGUAAACCUUGCUGCUGCUUGGUAUGGAGAAGACUUACAUCACUGAUUCGACUACUUUAGGAUUGUUUUUGUGCUCUGACAAGCUAGGAAUGACUAUGGAUCCUGAGAUUUGUUGAC